GCUGGGUGUGGUGGCACAUGCCUGUAAUCUCAGCUACUUGGAGGCCGAGGCAGGAGGAUGGAGGCCAGCCUCAGCAACUUAGUGAGACCCUGUCUCAA
rnacentral:sRNA from 1 species